rnacentral:rRNA from 1 species
GAGUUUGAUUAUGGCUCAGGAUGAACGCUGGCGGCGUGCCUAAUACAUGCAAGUUGAACGGACUUGGAGGGUGCUUGCACCUAACAAGUUAGUAGCGAACGGGUGAGUAAUACAUAAGCAACCUACCUAUUAGCCUGGGAUAACUAUGGGAAACGAUAGCUAAUACCGGAUAGGUAACUUGAAGGCAUCUUUAAGUUAUUAAAGGUUAGAGACACUAAUAGAUGGGCUUAUGGCGUAUUAGUUAGUUGGUGAGGUAACGGCUCACCAAGACGAUGAUACGUAGCCGGCCUGAGAGGGUGAACGGCCACAUUGGGACUGAGACACGGCCCAGACUCCUACGGGAGGCAGCAGUAGGGAAUUUUCGGCAAUGGGCGCAAGCCUGACCGAGCAACGCCGCGUGAGUGAAGAAGGCCUUCGGGUUGUAAAGCUCUGUUAUAAAUUAAGAAUGGCUAUAAGGGACUAUAGAG